AUUGAACGCUGGCGGCAGGCCUAACACAUGCAAGUCGGACGGUAGCACAGAGGAGCUUGCUCCUCGGGUGACGAGUGGCGGACGGGUGAGUAAUGUCUGGGGAUCUGCCCGAUAGAGGGGGAUAACCACUGGAAACGGUGGCUAAUACCGCAUAACGUCGCAAGACCAAAGAGGGGGACCUUCGGGCCUCUCACUAUCGGAUGAACCCAGAUGGGAUUAGCUAGUAGGCGGGGUAACGGCCCACCUAGGCGACGAUCCCUAGCUGGUCUGAGAGGAUGACCAGCCACACUGGAACUGAGACACGGUCCAGACUCCUACGGGAGGGAGCAGUGGGGAAUAUUGGACAAUGGGGGCAAGCCUGAUGCAGCCAUGCCGCGUGUAUGAAGAAGGCCUUCGGGUUGUAAAGUACUUUCAGCGGGGAGGAAGGCGAUAAGGUUAAUAACCUUGUCGAUUGACGUUACCCGCAGAAGAAGCACCGGCUAACUCCGUGCCAGCCGCCGCCGUAA
rnacentral:rRNA from 1 species